UGUUCUGUGGUGAAGUUGGUCAACGCUCUCUGUCUAUUGAAUUGGAGGACGUGGGUUCAAAUCUCACCAGAACUA
rnacentral:tRNA from 1 species